UCCCUUCGGGGAGGGGACAGUGGCGCACGGGUGAGUAACACGUGGGUAAUUUACCUUUGGGUGGGGAACAACAGCCGGAAACGGCUGCUAAUACCGCAUAAUGCAGCGGCUCGACAUCGAGACAGUUGUUAAAGCGGGGGAUCUUCGGACCUCGCGCCUAAAGAGAAGCCCGCGGCAGAUUAGCUAGUUGGUAGGGUAAUGGCCUACCAAGGCGACGAUCUGUAACCGGCCUGAGAGGGCGGUCGGUCACACUGACACUGACAUACGGGUCAGACUCCUACGGGAGGCAGCAGUCGGGAAUUUUGGGCAAUGGGCGAAAGCCUGACCCAGCAACGCCGCGUGAAGGAUGAAGCUUUUCGGAGUGUAAACUUCACAAGAAUGGGAAGAAUAAGUUUAGGAUAAUACCCUAAGCGAUGACGGUACCAUUUGUAAGCUCCGGCUAACUCCGUGCCAGCAGCCGCGGUAAUACGGGGGGAGCAAGCGUUGUUCGGAUUUACUGGGCGUAAAGGGCGCGUAGGCGGCGCGACAAGUCACUUGCGAAAUCUCUGAGCUCAACUCAGAACGGUCAAGUGAUACUGUCGUGCUAGAGUGCGGAAGGGGCAACUGGAAUUCUUGGUGUAGCGGUGAAAUGCGUAGAUAUCAAGAGGAACACCUGCGGCGAAGGCGGGUUGCUGGGCCGACACUGACGCUGAGGCGCGAAAGCU
rnacentral:rRNA from 1 species